rnacentral:rRNA from 1 species
UCCUACGGGAGGCAGCAGUAGGGAAUCUUCCGCAAUGGACGAAAGUCUGACGGAGCAACGCCGCGUGAGUGAUGAAGGCUUUCGGGUCGUAAAACUCUGUUGUUAGGGAAGAACAAGUGCUAGUUGAAUAAGCUGGCACCUUGACGGUACCUAACCAGAAAGCCACGGCUAACUACGUGCCAGCAGCCGCGGUAAUACGUAGGUGGCAAGCGUUAUCCGGAAUUAUUGGGCGUAAAGCGCGCGCAGGUGGUUUCUUAAGUCUGAUGUGAAAGCCCACGGCUCAACCGUGGAGGGUCAUUGGAAACUGGGAGACUUGAGUGCAGAAGAGGAAAGUGGAAUUCCAUGUGUAGCGGUGAAAUGCGUAGAGAUAUGGAGGAACACCAGUGGCGAAGGCGACUUUCUGGUCUGUAACUGACACUGAGGCGCGAAAGCGUGGGGAGCAAACAGGAUUAGAUACCCUGGUAGUCCACGCCGUAAACGAUGAGUGCUAAGUGUUAGAGGGUUUCCGCCCUUUAGUGCUGAAGUUAACGCAUUAAGCACUCCGCCUGGGGAGUACGGCCGCAAGGCUGAAACUCAAAGGAAUUGACGG